UACGUAGGGGGCAAGCGUUGUCCGGAUUUAUUGGGCGUAAAGAGCGUGUAGGCGGCCAAGCAGGUCCGUUGUGAAAACUGGAGGCUUAACCUCCAGACGUCGACGGAAACCGCGUGGCUAGAGUCCGGAAGAGGAGAGUGGAAUUCCUGGUGUAGCGGUGAAAUGCGCAGAUGUCAGGAAGAACACCAAUGGCGAAGGCAGCUCUCUGGGACGGUACUGACGCUGAGACGCGAAAGCGUGGGGAGCGAACAGG
rnacentral:rRNA from 1 species